UUGACCUCGGAUCAGGUAGGAAUACCCGCUGAACUUAAGCAUAUCAAUAAGCGGAGGAAUCCAA
rnacentral:rRNA from 1 species